rnacentral:rRNA from 1 species
CCUACGGGUGGCAGCAGUGAGGAAUAUUGGUCAAUGGACGGAAGUCUGAACCAGCCAUGCCGCGUGCAGGAUGACGGCUCUAUGAGUUGUAAACUGCUUUUUUACGAGAGUACUAGUUCUUUCGUGUAGGGAUGUGAAUUUAUCGUACGAAUAAGGAUCGGCUAACGACGUGCCAGCAGCCGCGGUAAUACGGAGGAUUCGAGCGUUAUCCGGAUUUGUUGGGUUUAAAGGGUGCGUAGGCCGUUGGGUAAGUUAGAGGUCAAAUGUCGGGGCGUAACCCCGUGCCUGCCUCUGAUACUGUGCGACUAGAGAGCGGAUGCAGAAGGCGGAAUGAGAAGUGUAGCGGUGAAAUGCUUAGAUAUUACUCAGAACACCGAUUGCGCAGGCAGCUUUCUAAUCCGUAUCUGACGCUGAUGCACGAAAGCGUGGGUAGCGAACAGGAUUAGAUACCCCUGUAGUC